CCGGGCGUCGAUGAAUGUGGGGUACCAUUCCUUGAUGAUGUGGUCAUGUUUGUAGUCGGCCUUAUUGUCCUUUAGAUGUUCCACGGUGUUCCGCUCGCUCUUCUCAUAGGCCUCCCGGGGCUUCCGGACAGACACCUUGCAUUCUCGGACCUUGUUGACGAUGAAUUCUUGGAUGAGAAACCUGAUAUCUUCCAUGAGGCAGUCAUCAUAAAGAAGUCUGAAUAUCUUGGUUGAGAGCUAGACUUUGGAAACAGAGAGACCCUGUAUAAUAACAGACUAAGAAGUAAGGAAGACAAGCCCAGCCAGUCCCACAACUAUUUCAUUAAUACCAGGUAAAGCAACAGACCUGCCAGUGAAGCAUCUUGGAUCCUUUAGCUUUAGAAAAUCAGCUCUGUUACAUCUGCCGCCUCCUGUGAGCACAAGGCACAGAAAGUAGACCCUGUAACCCUCAGAGGGCCUGAAGGAAAGCGAUGCUGGUGUGACCUGCCCAAGAGGAUGGUGCCCAAGGCAGAGCAUUCUAGACCCUCAUAGGCAACAGAGCCAGAAUCUAUUGAAAUAUUAUUUUUUUCCGUGCAUCCACAUUUGUAAGAACACUGAUGGAUAUGAUGGUUUCUGUUUCAUCAAUAUUAAUUUAAAGCUGCUGAAUAUCCUUGGAGAGCUAAUCAAGAAGGUAGAAGUUUUUCCACAUUAAUGUUGUCAAGUGACAGUAGAUUUAAGAGGUAUUGCUAGCUUGUGUCAACUGAUUCUGAUGGUCAAAUAUUUUUAUAAAUACCUUCAGGAGAAUUUCAUAGUGAUCUUAAAAACUACAAAGAAAAAGAGUUCCCACGGAUUUAUAAGAAGGUUCGACUAUGCUUUUCCCGGAUAAAACGUGUCUCUUUCCCUUUCAUUGCCAUCUGCUGGAUGACAAUCCUUUAUUCUGAUACAGUCAUCUUUACAAAUGACUAACCAAAGGUCUGUUUUGAAAGAUCAGCAGAAAUAGGAAUGGAAGUGAGGAUACAGAGAAUGCACAAACGGGAACCAUGUGAGGACAGUGAGAAGGUGGCCAUCUACAAGACGAGAUGAGAGGCCUCAGAAGAAAGAAACCAAAUCUACAGACACCUUGAUCUUCAACUUCUGGCAUCCAAAACUGUCUGAGAAGGAUGCCAGACACCUGACAGGCACUCAAGCAUUUGAUGAAUGAACAAAAUGUUGUUGUGACCUAUUCCAAUCCUGAGCAUGUGUUUGCACAGUCAUUCUAGAUUCAUUUAGGGGUACUGGUUCCAGAACUAGAAUCCAAAGUGAAUUAUGAGUAUAACAUCAGGGUUUUGUUUCUCUGUCUCUCUCUCUCUGUUUCUCUCUUUUUCUUUGUCUAUUCUGAGGUAGUUGAUUGGUCUGCGAAGGGUAAAAUAUGGCAAAAAUGAUUUCCAUUUGGUGUUUGUAAGUUAUUUCAAAGACAUAGCAGCUUGAGAAUAAAAAUUCUUUUUUUCUUUCUCAA
ensembl:lncRNA novel transcript